AAGAUCGUGCCCACCAAAGAUGUUAUCGAUGCUGCCUUCAAAGAUCCUGUCAAGCGCGAAGAGAUAAGGAACAACAAGCUGAUAUAUCAAGACAAACCAAGACUCAAAA